rnacentral:rRNA from 1 species
CUACGGAGGGUGCAAGCGUUGUCCGGAUUUAUUGGGUUUAAAGGGUGCGUAGGUGGUUUUUUAAGUCAGUGGUGAAAGCCUACAGCUUAACUGUAGAGGUGCCAUUGAUACUGGGGAACUUGAGUAUGGACGAGGUAGGCGGAAUUUGUGGUGUAGCGGUGAAAUGCAUAGAUACCACAAGGAACACCGAUAGCGAAGGCAGCUUACUGGGCCAUAACUGACACUGAGGAACGAAAGCGUGGGGAGCGAACAGGAUUAGAAACCCUAGUAGUCC